CUCAAGUUAGGGAGGUCACGAAGGGAAACUCGGGCCCGAACUUUUAUGAGGGUCUGAGUGAUAAACAAAAGGUUAAACAAUUUAACGUCAUUGAGGGUUUUCUUCGUCUGUUGAUUCCUCUCCAAAAUUGGAACAGAUAUUUUCGUGGCUUCUGUUUUUUU
rnacentral:telomerase_RNA from 1 species